rnacentral:rRNA from 1 species
AAUGGGGGAAACCCUGAUGCAGCGAUGCCGCGUGAGUGAAGAAGGCCCUUGAGUUGUAAAACUCUUUCGUCGGGGAAGAAAAUGACUGUACCCGAAUAAGAAGGUCCGGCUAACUUCGUGCCAGCAGCCGCGGUAAUACGAAGGGACCUAGCGUAGUUCGGAAUUACUGGGCUUAAAGAGCUCGUAGGUGGUUAAAAAAGUUGAUGGUGAAAUCCCAAGGCUCAACCUUGGAACUGCCAUCAAAACUUUUUAGCUAGAGUGUGAUAGAGGUAAGUGGAAUUUCUAGUGUAGAGGUGAAAUUCGUAGAUAUUAGAAAGAACACCAAAUGCGAAGGCAACUUACUGGGUCACUACUGACACUGAGGAGCGAAAGCAUGGGUAGCGAAGAGGAUU